rnacentral:rRNA from 1 species
UACAGAGGUGGCAAGCGUUGUUCGGAAUUACUGGGCGUAAAGGGCGCGUAGGCGGUCUUUUAAGUCUUGUGUGAAAUCCCUCGGCUCAACUGAGGAACUGCACGGGAUACUGGAAGACUUGAGUUCGGGAGAGGGAAGCGGAAUUCCGGGUGUAGCGGUGAAAUGCGUAGAUAUCGUAAGGAAGACCAGUGGCGAAGGCGAGUCUCUGGACAGUUACUGACGCUGAGGCACGAAGGCCAGGGGAGCAAACGGG